AACAGAGGAUGCAAGCGUUAUCCGGAAUUAUUGGGCGUAAAGUGUCUGUAGGUGGCAAUUCAAGUCUGCUGUUAAAGGUCAGGGCUCAACCCUGAACAGGCAGUGGAAACUGAAUAGCUAGAGUGCGGUAGGGGCAGAGGGAAUUCCCAGUGUAGCGGUGAAAUGCGUAGAGAUUGGGAAGAACACCGGUGGCGAAAGCGCUCUGCUAGGCCGUAACUGACACUCAUGGACGAAAGCUAGGGGAGCGAAUGGG
rnacentral:rRNA from 1 species